rnacentral:rRNA from 1 species
UACGUAGGGUGCGAGCGUUGCCCGGAUUUAUUGGGCGUAAAGGGCGCGUAGGCGGCUCGGCACGUCCGUUGUGAAAUCGCCCGGCUCAACUGGGCGGGGUCAGCGGAUACGGUCGAGCUUGAGCAAGCUAGGGGGUAAUGGAAUUCCCGGUGUAGUGGUGGAAUGCGUAGAUAUCGGGAGGAACACCAGUGGCGAAGGCGGUUACCUGGGGGCUUUGCUGACGCUGAUGCGCGAAAGCGUGGGGAGCGAUCCGG